UUUUAAUGUAGUUUAAGAAAAAAAACAAUAUAUUUUCAUUAUAUAAAUAAAUUUAAUAUUUUUUUAAAAAA
rnacentral:tRNA from 1 species